CCCACACCACAUAUUGAGAAAACUAGAAGAGAAUGAACUUGGCCAGAGGAGAAUGAAAUGGCUUGAUAUAGAUGAAGAUGCAGCUGCCAUAAGUGAUGGAAACCACAGUAAUAUGUGAAGAACAGGGAUUCUGUGCUGCGGAGAUCAUUACGGAAGCAACAGUAGCAGGUGGCCUGGCCAUACAGGGAUUCCUUACUCGCAGCAGAGAAUGUUGCUGCCACUCAAAGUCACCAGGGGCUGAAGAGCUCCUGUGGAGACCCACAUCAUCUAACAACACACAUACUCAAAACAGGGAAAUGUGCAUUUUCGGGAGAGGAAGAGACAAACCUUUUGUUUAGCUAACUGGCAUGACAGAGUGUGACAUACAUGUGCUCCUGGAAGAACGGUGUUGGGUGUCUGCACUCAAAAUCUUGAGCAUAGGCAACUGGAUGAAGGGCUCUGUGGCAUUGAUUUUCAUUGUGUGUGUGUUAAUAUUUACAUUUAUAAUUAAAUAAAUA
ensembl:lncRNA novel transcript, antisense to OR2AP1, OR6C4, OR6C68 & OR6C2